UGAGGAAUCUUGCGCAAUGGGGGAAACCCUGACGCAGCAACGCCGCGUGAGUGAGGAAGGUCUUCGGGUCGUAAAGCUCUGUCAGGCGGGAAGAAAUGCAUGGAGGUGAACAGCCGCCAUGCUUGACGGUACCGCCAGAGGAAGCACCGGCUAACUCCGUGCCAGCAGCCGCGGUAAUACGGGGGGUGCAAGCGUUGUUCGGAAUCAUUGGGCGUAAAGAGCGUGUAGGCGGCUUGGUAAGUCAGAUGUGAAAGCCCUGGGCUCAACCCGGGAAGUGCAUUUGAAACUGUGAGGCUCGAGUAGGGGAGAGGGAAGUGGAAUUCCUGGUGUAGAGGUGAAAUUCGUAGAUAUCAGGAGGAGCACCGGUGGCGAAGGCGACUUCCUGGCCCUAUACUGACGCGGAGACGCGAGAGCGUGGGUAGC
rnacentral:rRNA from 1 species